CAUAAAAGUAGCAAUACUUGGUGGCGACCGGCGCACGGGUGAAGUAACGCGUAUGCAACCUACCUAUCAGAGGGGAAUAACCCGGCGAAAGUCGGACUAAUACCGCAUAAAACAGGGGCACCGCAUGGUGAUAUUGUUAAAGAGAUUCGCUGAUAGAUGGGCAUGCGUUCCAUUAGGUAGUUGGUGAGGUAACGGCUCACCAAACCGACGAUGGAUAGGGGAACUGAGAGGUUGGUCCCCCACACUGGUACUGAGACACGGACCAGACUCCUACGGGAGGCAGCAGUGAGGAAUAUUGGUCAAUGGGCGGGAGCCUGAACCAGCCAGGUCCGCGUGAAGGAAGAAGGAUCUAUGGUUCGUAAACUUCUUUUGCAGGGGAAUAAAGUGCAGGACGUGUCCUGUUUUGUAUGUACCCUGAGAAUAAGGAUCGGCUAACUCCGUGCCAGCCGCCGC
rnacentral:rRNA from 1 species